AGCGAACGCUGGCGGCAGGCCUAACACAUGCAAGUCGAACGAACCUUUCGGGGUUAGUGGCGGACGGGUGAGUAACACGUGGGAACGUGCCUUUAGGUUCGGAAUAACUCAGGGAAACUUGUGCUAAUACCGAAUGUGCCCUUCGGGGGAAAGAUUUAUCGCCUUUAGAGCGGCCCGCGUCUGAUUAGCUAGUUGGUUGAGGUAAUGGCUCACCAAGGCGACGAUCAGUAGCUGGUCUGAGAGGAUGAGCAGCCACAUUGGGACUGAGACACGGCCCAAACUCCUACGGGAAGCAGCAGUGGGGAAUCUUGCGCAAUGGGCGAAAGCCUGACGCAGCCAUGCCGCGUGAAUGAUGAAGGUCUGAGGAUUGUAAAAUUCUUUCACCGGGGACGAUAAUGACGGUACCCGGAGAAGAAGCCCCGGCUAACUUCGUG
rnacentral:rRNA from 1 species